rnacentral:rRNA from 1 species
UACGGGGGGGGCAAGCGUUGUUCGGAAUUACUGGGCGUAAAGGGCGCGUAGGCGGCCUGCUAAGUCAGGGGUGAAAUCCUGGAGCUCAACUCCAGAACUGCCUUUGAUACUGGCGACCUUGAGUCCGGGAGAGGUGAGUGGAACUGCGAGUGUAGAGGUGAAAUUCGUAGAUAUUCGCAAGAACACCAGUGGCGAAGGCGGCUCACUGGCCCGGUACUGACGCUGAGGUGCGAAAGCGUGGGGAGCAAACAGG